UACGGGGGGAGCAAGCGUUGUUCGGAUUUACUGGGCGUAAAGGGCGCGUAGGCGGCCACUGCAAGUCAGUUGUGAAAUCUCCGGGCUUAACCCGGAACGGUCAGAUGAUACUGCUUUGCUAGAGUGCGGAAGGGGCAAUCGGAAUUCUUGGUGUAGCGGUGAAAUGCGUAGAUAUCAAGAGGAACACCUGAGGUGAAGACGGGUUGCUGGGCCGACACUGACGCUGACAGCGCGAAAGCCAGGGGAGCAAACGGG
rnacentral:rRNA from 1 species